rnacentral:rRNA from 1 species
UACGUAGGGUCCAAGCGUUAUCCGGAAUUACUGGGCGUAAAGCGUACGUAGGCGGCGCGUUAAGUGAGAUGCGAAAUCCUGUGGCUCAACCAUAUGGACUGUAUCUCAUACUGGCGUGCUGGAGGUCGGCAGAGGCAAGUGGAAUUACCGGUGUAGCAGUGAAAUGCGUAGAUAUCGGUAGGAACACCAAUGGCGAAGGCAGCUUGCUGGGCCGCACCUGACGCUGAGGUACGAAAGCGUGGGGAGCGAACAGG